rnacentral:rRNA from 1 species
UACGGUGAAUACGUUCCCGGACCUUGCACACACCGCCCGUCAAGCCAUGGAAGUUGGGCGUACCUAAAGUCGGUAACCGCAAGGAGCCGCCUAGGGUAAAACUAGUAACUGGGGCU